AGGGUUCAGGAUUGGAUGAGGAUAGUGUAUGGUGGGCUGGAUGGGGGUCGAGGAGAGGGAUGAAGGGGGUCGAUGGCAUGGGGAUGACCGGGGACCAAAUGGAAUCACAAAGAGGCUUGAGCGUCUAGGAACCCGGGGGUCGAGACUCACGGUGGGGGACAUGUCUCGAUGAGCUUUCUGCUUCGUCAUCCCCCAAAAUUAACUUCAUUGGACUAAGUGAGAACGGGCUCUUUGAAUGUCACUGAGGUAGGUAUGGAAUCUUGGGAAGACUAGCGGUCAAGAAUUUUAUUUAUUUAAUUUUAACAGGUGGUCUGGGAUUUCUUAUUUGGAAGCGGUUGAAGCGGCUCCAGUACGGAAGAAUUGGCCAGAGUACGGUUAGGAAUGUGGACUGACUUUGUCAAUGUGGGGAGACAGGUUGGGAUAGAACAGGAGGAAAUGGAGUGGGUCCAGUAGAGGGAGCACCGUGGCUCGGUGCGACUGUGGCUGAGGUAACAGAAGGACCAGUAGUGGCUAUGGGAAGAAAGAGAGGAGCUGCAGGGACGGGUGGAGCCGAAAGCGCUGAAGUAACUGCAGCUGAAGGAAGGGAAGAGGAAAGGAUGCCGGGAUGAGGGGAUGUAUGUGCAGGGGUUGAUUGUGCAGCCUGCGGACACAGGGAUGAGACGAAAAUGAAAACAAAUACAAGAUGGAGGGGGUUAGAAAGGAGGGAGCUCCAUGGCUUCCUUACGUAUCAACUAAUGAUGAGGAAAACCAGGCUCCCUGAAGCAAUGAAUCGAUAUGAAGCGAUUGCAAUGAAAAUUGUUCACUGUGGUAAAGUAGUUGAUAGUCAGUCAAUGUCACUGAAAAUGAGGGAAUGCCCUCAAUGAUACCUCGAGAUGUAAAUAAAGGUUGAAUGAAUGAAAAGAAGCAGGCGAGUCGAGGGAGCUAUAGUAGCUGUGGCAGGAGGAAGCGAAAAGGGGUGCUGUAAAGAAAUAAUAUGAAGGUUGAGGGGUGAGGGAUGAAGGCAUGAAGGUUGAGGGGUGAGGGAUGAAGGGAUGAGGGGUGAGGGAUGAAGGGAUGCGUGUGAAGUGGUAAGAUGUGCGGCUUAUAGACGCAGGGAUGAAACAAAAACACGACGCAAAUUAAGACGUAGGGAGCAGGCAUAUGGGGAAAUACAACCUGGCCCUGCGACAGGGCUGAAGCAGUUGGCUGUGUCGUGACGUCAUCGACGUGCGGCAUACGGGUGGCGCUGGGCGGGUAACUCGGAAGUGAGCAGCCAUCCGGAGCGGUGGUGGGGGUGGAGGCAGAGAGGAGCAGGAAGACGCUGGCUUUGUUGUCGGUUCGGCGAAACGGGAUUUGUAUCUGGAGCUCAGCCUGGCAUUCAGCCGGGGCUGAAGAAGUCUGGGCUUUGUUGUAGUAGGCGGCGUUGUGACGUCAUCGGUGUGCGUCGACCCGGCGGCGGACAGUGAACCCGAAAGAGCGGGAGGAUUUGAGCUGCCGGCGAGAGAGUUGAUGGAAGUAGAGUCUGCAUAGAGUUGGAAAGUUUGUCUUUAUCAUCGUUUCGUAGGAGUGGGACGACCGUCUCCUUGAGAGCUCGCCGGAGGUGAGCAAACAUCCAGUUGAAGAUGUUAAUUGCUUGAAAAAGAGCCGCGUUGGAGUGGGCGGUUGCGUGGAUGCUUGUGGAGCGUCUGGAUCCCAGCUGAUCAGAAGCGCGGCGUCUGGAUGUGGAUGUGGUGGUGAAGGAGAUAUCACGUUGGUACUGCUGGAUCUAGUCGUGGGCGGUAUGUUGCCGAGGAACAUGGAUCACGGAGCACGGGCGAGAGCUUGGGGAGUGGACAACCGUCUGGUCACUUUGGACAUGAAAGACUUGGUCAUCUCUGAGGUUACAAAGACAACAGUUCAGCCCGCCAAAGGCUGAGGUCAUGGUUUGGAGAAGAAGAUCUUAACACACACACGUGGGGUUGAUUUUUUGCCCUCUAACGAAACAACAAAAGAUUUUGCUGACAAAACUCAUCCAGCUCUGACAGAUAUUUGUUCAACAAAACAUGUUUAAUUCUUGCUCUGUUGCCUUCUACUGAAAGUGGUCCUAGCACACGUGUCAUCAUUUGACAGUUCAUGUGCUGGCCAAAUAAACCUGCUCACCCUAAAAUCAUAAGGAUACAAAUUAUCUUACUGGUGAAAGGAUAAUCACAACCAGACUCAAGGUUUCCUCUACUCACACAAGGAAAGCUUUCCUAAUCUGACAUGCAGUUCAUGUCUCUGUCCUGACGGUGGCGGUCAUGAGUGGAUGCUGUAUCACUGAGCCAGUGAGAAAAGAAAGGGGCUUUCUCAGCCUUCAUAUCAGUUGUGGAGAAUGUGUACAAAAUAAAGCGCCAGCAGCUUUGCAGUUUGAUUUGACAGGCCAGACAUCUCUUUGGCUGACUGCUGCUGCUCCUAUCAGAUUUUCUUUGGAGGGGCUGAGAGCUUGUACUAAAGUCUAUUCUUGUUCUGUGUUCAUGUAACUGAAAUAAAUGGCUUGUAAUUGCUUCAUUUCUACAUUAAUUCCCCUCUAAACUGUCAAUCAUGCACAAACUGGCAUGGAGGAAAAUUUAUCUUCUCAGUAGAUGCUGGGAAUGUAAACAGAAGUGAAAAACAAGUUACAGCACAAUUCUUCCAAUCAGGUCCAUAUCUCCCACUUCCUGCCUGAGCUUGGAGGCUAAUCGAUCAAAGGCAGGCUAAUCCUCACUCCAUGUCCCCUCUCAGCCAGUGUGAAGCAGCCAGCGCUCAGGGGGUUUAUCAAGGAAGAGAUGACCUCUGACUCCUAACUGACUGCAGGUCCUGAGACAGGAAGAGGUCAGGAGGUCGUAACAGAAACUCAUUCACACCUCACACUGCUGCGCCACAGGGGGAGGCGGUCUCCUGCCGGGUGUCUGUGAGCCUCCGGUAGCUAAACAGCCUCUGUAUGUGAAAGCAGACAGAGUCCGGGCCACGGUAUCAUAGCAGAUAUCAAGUUUGUCAGGAGUCUAGACAGUGAAGUAUGUACCUCAGAGAACUCGAUCUACCUUGAUGUGUUAUCUAGCAAUGUUAAUGUGUGUUGUGAAUGCUGUGUGGACAAUAGAAAAAUAAAAAAUAAAGUAGCAGUGUGAUAGCAGUUUUUAUCAAAGGACUUCAAAGCUAAACAAUGCAACUUGCGAGGCGUAGAAAGAGUAGAUAUAUAUUUCACAGAGUGGUGGAAAGAGGCAUUUAAAAGAAUAAGCAAUACAACUUCCUGUACCCGCUUUCGGCCUCCUACUGUUCAAGAUUAUACAUUUGAUACAUCUUACAACAUCAAAACUGGCUAAAAUGUACUCAUAUAUUUAUCUUACAACUUCAGGCAUACAGUAUGUUUUCAUUUUGUCCGCAAGUGAAGAAAUAUCGGUACUACUUUUUUAAAACCUUUGUCUAACUUCCGUGGGAUUUUUCUAAAGCCUUGUCCACUAAUUGCAACUUUUGGUGCUCCACAAAAUCUGUUGAAUUUCACCAUAAAACAAAGACACUUAGUAGCUUUUUCAUCACUUAUAGCACAAUGUAGAAUUUUACUCUGUUGGAAAUCCUCUCCCACUUUUUUUUGACAACCUUUCCUAACUUUUACAACUUGCAAACCCAACCUUCCAGCUAAAAUGGCUCUAUGCCUUUUGAACUACAUUUUUAAAGAUUUGCUUACAUUGUGAAAGAGAGCACUUCCUCUGUUGUAGUUAUAGAUAGGAAGGGCUGCAAUUGAUUAUUGUUUUCAUUACUGUUUGUUCUCUCUCCUACAGUCCAGGACAUUAAGAUAUUCAGAUCACGGUCAUAUGGGUCAGGGAUGGGAAGCUUGUCCUUACACUUUGGAGGAAAACUAAGGAGUAUCUGACCUUUUUUGCUUUUUCUUGAGGAAUGGCAUAAACAAUUGAUUAACAGAACAGCAUCUCAUUGAUUUUCUGUCAAAUGGUUAAUACUAAACAACUCAUUUUUCAGUAAAAGUUGCAAUCUGAUUUUUGUUCCCAAAAACAUCCACAUGUAAUUACAGUACUGACUUCAAAAGCUAAUCCCACUCUUUCAGAAUUGUGUAUUUCAGGACCCUUCUCACGACAACAAGGUGAGUGAGGCGCAUCGACCUGCCUAUGCACCACAAACCGUUGGUGCAUAAAGAGAUGUAUUAUCGAGGCAGUACACUGCAUGACUUUGAAAGGAAAGGGUAAAGGUAUCAGUUGAAAAGUGCGAUCAAACUUUGUCAUCCGGCCAAGGCCUACGCUUCUUUGUGUGCUACAGUAUCAAAGCGACAUGGUGUAGGAUCAUCAGAGAGCAUCGGCUUUGAUCUGUUGACGGCUUGGUGUCUGCGGAACUCAGCGGCUGCGACCUUUCAUCUGGCCCAGAACCUGGGAUUCACUCUGGCUUCAGUAAUAAGAUGAUUAACAAUAAUAACCCCCCGAGAGAAUGAGAGAGAGGGAGGGGAGAGAGAGAGAGAGAAAAAAAAGACACAGACAAGCUUCUGAGUGAAGAGUGCUUUGAGCUGCUGUGUUUUCUGUUCUGCAGUCUCCUUUUCAGCUUCUCUUCUUCUCUCUACUUACUCACUCACCCCUUCAUCCCACUUAAAAUUCUCUCUCUGCAUUUCAUCCUAACGUGACAGUUUGUGUGACAUGAUCUACAAACAUCAUCCCUCCCUAACACAAGAGACAACACAAUGGCUGGUACGUGUCCUCCACAAGUCAGGAGUGCUACUUCACCACAAUACGUUGUUAUAUCUGUAAUAUACGCAAUAAACCACCACCAUCUCA